rnacentral:rRNA from 1 species
GACGAACGCUGGCGGCGUGCUUAACACAUGCAAGUCGAACGGAAAGGCCCGGCUUUUGUGGGGUGCGCAAGUGGCGAACGGGUGAGUAUCACGUGAGUAGCCUGCCCUUUACUUUGGGAUACCUUCUUGGAACUCGGGCGCAUACCGGGUAUGAGCUCUUUCUGCAUGGUGUGGGUGUGUGAAUUUUGGAAGGUGGUGAUUGACUGCAGGCCUAUCAUUGUGUUGGUUAGGUAGUGGCUUACCAACGCGCCGACGGGUUGCCGGCCUGAGAGGGUGACCGGCCACAUUGGGACUGAGAUGCGAGCAAGACUGAUACGGGAGCAAGCAGUGGGGAAUAGUGCAAAAUGGGCGGAAGCCGUAUACAGCAACGCCGCGUGGGGAAUCACGGCCUUCGGGUUGGAACCCGCUUUCGCCUGUGAAGAAGAGUGAGUGACGGUAAUGGGCAAAGAAGCAACGGCUAACUACGUG